AGUUCUUUUGGAGCGCGUAACUUAACGUUACAUUUGAUAUCGCUGACAUAAGCUUGGUUCAGAUGAAGUUCUGAAGAUCAGCGCAGUAUUCAAUAAUCUUGUGGAUGGACCGCAGCGAGUCCUUUUGCAGUUGUAUCCAUCAAAAUGCUUUGCAGACAUAAUGGAAAUGACAUUCACAUUGUAGAGCUUGGACAAAGUUCACACAGGCUCGGAGCAGGAAUUCAUCAAGGACAUGACUGUUGGGAUUACGGUUGUGGAUGACCAAACUGAGCACCAUCAGUCUGCAGUGAUGUGGUCCAGCCAUCCGGUGAAAUUAAGGAUGUUGUGAAAGAAAUUGAAAUGGGCAUUCUGAUUGUAACUGAGGAGCAGCAAUGUGAUGUGCUUCCCAAGGAAUAACCAACAUUGCUCUCAUUUGAACAUCCUGUCAUCACUGACAUCUCCCAUGUCCCCAAGGCAUUUGGACUCCUCAUGGGUCUGUAUGCAGUGAAUAUCCACUACCUCAAGUGCAUGAAAUACACCAUUGAGGCUCUGCAAAAACUUGCGUGUAACAGCUGCUCCCACCAUGUGCUCG
ensembl:lncRNA